rnacentral:rRNA from 1 species
GUCUACGGCCACGCCACCCUGAACGUGCCCGAUCUCGUCUGAUCUCGGAAGCUAAGCGGGGUCGGGCCUGGUUCGUACUCGGAUAGUGAGACCACCUAGGAAGACCAGGUGCUGUAGGCA